CCCACUACUGGUUAUUGACGCCAUCUUGGGCUGUAGUUGCGAAUGCAUCUCUGUGGCAAUGGAUUCUCUCUAAGGCUUUUGCUCUUUGGUGUCACCCUGCUAGUGCAUCACUUAGCAUAGUCUGUAUGUUAAGAUGCUCAAAGCGAAGGGCGCGAUAAGUUUUUCCUUUGCAUAUGAUUGGUUACUGAUGAUGAUACUGCUUCUGGAAUAAAUAGGUGGGAUCGUCAAGGUCCAUUCAAACCAUUGCAUUUGAUGAAUCCGGCAAGAUUAUCUUUUAUUCACUCCAUACUCUAUAGACAUUUCAGGUACACUUAACCUAUCUUGCAUAUGAUUGCUUUUUUUUGCAGGUUCGUGAAGAGAGAUGAUCUGGUUUUGUGAAGGAAGGGCGAGAAAGAUUAUGUGGGGAUCAGAUUGUCCAUGGCGACCUAGGAGGAGCAGCACCAUCUCAGGUUCGUCACGUGCUCCUCUACUUCUCUUAUCUUCUUCUUCUCCAUCUCCCCAUCUAAUUAGUGUGUUCCUUUGCAGGUUGCUCCGGUCUAGUUGUGUGAAGCAACACGCAAGGUCUGCUACUGCUGUUGUGCUCCCUUGAACGAUCUGGUGAAGGACAAUUUGGUCCAUAGGUCGUCCCCCCAUGCUAUCUCUCUCUGCUGCAUAGUUAGGUUCAGUUUUUUUGUUCUCUUUCUAGUUUAAGCGUAAGUAGAUUCCAGUAGGUCUCUAUGUAUGUAGCUCAUGAGUUAGAACAUUUAAUCUAUUUACGGACUGCAGACUUGCUAUGUCAUGUGCAAACUUGCUUGCAUUCAGUUCAGAAAAUUUCUGAAUUCUCUAUUGUUUGCUUUCACUCAAUGAUUGUGGUACUAGUAGUCAAAUUAGAUGCCUCCUUUGUUGUAAUUCACUCGUUUCCCUGUCAUGGUUUAUCUUGAAUUUUGGUAGUGUGACAAACACAUUAGCAAAUCUAAAUAACUUUGACAUAUUUGCUGUAUUAUCUUGCACUGGAUUGGCACCUUUCAUUACCCUGCUUUUAUGCUUAUACCUGAUUCACAGUGCUUCAACACAGAUUUAUCCUAUGAUUAUACCUGAGACAUUAGUUUGUUUUUAUGCUUUUGUUUCCCACAGUGCUUCAAGCUUGUUUAUUAGCUCGAUUUGUUGUUAUUCUGUUUAACAGGAGCAGAAGCAGCUCAUAUGACUCUAUUGUUGUUCUUGACCUACUGUUGCUGUUGUUGUAGGAGGCGCACGCCUAGGAGAAGAGAGGGCUCAUUCCACUUGUUUGGAAGAGAAGACAAUGAAGCAUGGUGGUUAUCUGGAUAAUCUGCCUUGUGUUUUGGUUGUACUUUGUACCUAGUUAUAUUGUAUUCUGUAGUAGUCAGCACAUUCUGGAGCAGAAUCCAGUGAAGUUGUAAAAUUGUAAGAAAUGUGAGAAAUAUACUUUGUACCUAGUUCUGUUUCAUUUGAAAUAUUUGUCAUUUAUGUACUGUGAGAAAUGGAAAGCUGAUGAGUUCUUUGAUAAAAAGCGAUGUGGCUCCACUGCGAGGAAAAAUCUGACAAUUGGGAUCCAUCUAAAAA
rnacentral:lncRNA from 1 species